ensembl:lncRNA
AUGGUGGUUCGACAUCGAGAUGUUGUUCUCACCCAUAUGAAAAAGUUGGGGUUAAGACUAAACGUAAAGAAAAGUGCACUUUCUCCAUUACAGAGGACCACUUAUAUGGGCGUGGUAUGGGAUUUGACAUACAUACAUAUAUUAUUAUUAUUAUUAUUAUUAUUAUUAUUAUUAUUAUUAUUAUUAUUCCAAGGUCAAGAUAGCCACCAGAUCUGGGCUGUAUCCAGAUCAGAUGGUCACUGCAGUCACUUGGAUACAGUCCGUAUCCAGCCCAGAUGGUGGAUCAGUACCAAGAGAUGACCUCUACAGUCCAAAAUGUCAGCGGAGACCAGGACAACUAGAUGUGCCCCAUGAUCCCCAGUGAAGACCUUGUCACCUAGACCAGUGGUUCUCAAUUCCAGUCCUGGGGACCCCGUGCUCUGCACAUUUUGCAUGUCUCCCUUUUUUAAUACACCUGAUUGAGAUCAUCAGCUUGUUAGGAGAGAGAUCCAUGAAAUGAACCAACAAGUUGAUGAUCUCAAUCAGGUGUGUUAAAUAAGGGAGACAUGGUAAAAGGGGGGUCCCCAGGACUGGAAUUGAGCAGCACUGACCUAGAUGGCCAUCGGGACAAGACCACGGGAACACCAAUCUGACUUUGCUGCAGCAUGGAACAACCUACUGGUUCGUCUGGCCAGAGGAAAACUGGCCCCCUGACUGAGCCUGGUUUCUCCCAAGUUUUUUUUUUCUUCUUUUUUUUUACUCCAUUCUGUCACCGAUGGAGUUUUGGUUCCUUGGUGCUGUUGCCUCUGUUGGGGACAUUUAAAUAGCUGAGUUAAGGCUGCUUGUGCCUGCUCAAAAUUCUCUGUAUAGCAUUGCAGCACUAAACAGUAUGUAAAGACACAUAAAAGCUACUUUCAGAAGUGCUUCUGUGCCAUCUUUGUAAUGUAAAUUUUGCAUUAGACUCUAGAUCAAUCUAGACCAAGUAUGAGACCACAGCCUGCUUAUAUAGAGUCUAACAGCAUGAUUACGAGUGCGAAAAAUAGUUUUAACUUAAAGUCACCAUGAAAUCAAAAUUGAAAAUUCUUGUUUUCUAAUGGAAUACUGUUGUGUUUAUUAUAAAUAAUUUAUCUGUGCAUUUUUAUUUUUUUAAUUCAUGUGUCCUCAUAAUCUUUAAUUAAAAACCUCCCCUGAAUCCCCAAAAUUCA